CAGAAUAAAGUAGAUUUAAUAUUAAUUUAAUUCUCAAAUAUAAAUCACAUGAGAAAAGAUACUUAGCCAUCAAUAUAUGCUGGUUAGCAAUUCUCUUCAAUAUAUGCUUGUUAGCUAUUCUCUAUUUCAUUCGGGCCAAGCAUCUACUGGGAGUCAUUACUGUUCUGAUAGAAAUUUCCUUAUCUCUGGUGCAUCAUUGUCUCAUUAAAUCCAACAGUAAGUCAUUCCUCGUGGUGCAUCAUUGUCUCAUUAAAUCCAACAGUAAGUCAUUCCUCGCGCAUUAAAGAAGACUCCAUUAAACGGAAGAAUUAAUACCCUAAAAUUGUUGCAGAUUAUUCAAAUAAUCCAAUAGAGUGAAUAUCAAAACAAUAUAAUUCUAAUAGAAAAAUAAAAAAUAAAAAAAUUCAAAAUUCAUAAAAAAAAAAAAAAAAAUUGCAACUUCUGCCAACCGUCUACAAACUUCUUCAUUUUAACCCCUCGGAACCGUAAAUGUUCUUCACUUUUGAACCAGUGAAAACACCCCCUCCCCCCAAAGUUCAAUUUUUUCCAUUUUAUUCCUAGAUUUUCAUGUUUUUGACUUCUUAUGUGAAGAAAGGGAAACCUGUUUUGUGAAAGUUGUGCUACAAAAUUGUUAAAGGUCAAUGAGUUGCUCUUAAAUUCUAAGAAGAUUGGGAAUAACAUUUUUUAUUCUCCAAGAUUCAGGCUUACUCCGAUGAGCGUUGGCUGGAUUUUGAAGUUCCUGCUUGAUUUCUAUUGAUGUAACAACAAUUUGGUGGGUAUAUGUUAGUUCCUAUUCUUUUGGAUAUAACUUCUUGCUAAGAAUUUUGCAUGAACGUCGGUUAACUUCUUUGAUCUGUAUUUUUGUCCCGGUGUUGAGAUAUAUCUGAGUAUAUAAACCUUUGAAUUCUAUAUUUCUUAGAGAUUACUAGUUUUGACAUCUUCAUUCUACUUCUGAAGCUUGGAUUUGUGUCCUUUUUUCUUCUUUUCUUCUCAAUGAUUAAUUGUACCAUUUUGUACUUUUUGAUGGAUGAUACAUAUUUGAGUUUUUUUUUUUUGGACUUUUGUUUGUGUUUCUUUCUUAAUUUUGAGGAACUUGAUUAUUUGAUCAAACGCCUCUUAUGAAAAUUCUUAGUACAUCGGUUCAUGUUCUACUAUAUGUAAUUAAGGUGUUUGAAAAUAUGCCUAAAGUAACUAAAACAAGUUUUUGUUUGUUUUCCUUUUUCACGCAGUAGUGCUAUGACUUGCACAUCAUCCAACAGUCCCAAAAGAUUUUGGUUCUACAAUCAGAUUGAAAACAAAAAUUCAGAAGAAAUGCCAGUAGAGAGAAGAAGAAGUUUCACAGAAACAAAGAGAAAAGAGGAAGAACGAUACUGUGAGAAAGCAAAUAACAUUAAAAAUAAAAAGAAACCAGAAGAAAACACUGAUCAGAAAGGAAAGAGAAAGAAGAAGAACCCACCAUAGAGAGUAAAUAAGCAGGCAGAGAACUCAGUGGACUGAGUUUAUUUUGGUAAUUCAGUGGCUUAGUGUUGAAGAACCAGUCAUUCCCCUGUUAUAUUUACUUAUAUUUAUCAAUUUGUUUCAAAUUGUACCGAUAAAAGGACCUGAUAAGAAAAGAUACUAACAGAUAGAAUGAAACUUGUGUCGAAGGUGAAAAAGGAAAAAAAUGCAGAGUUUGAUUAAAUGAGCAUAUCACUGUUUUGGAGUAUAAAUCAGAGAAACUGUGAAGCAAGUCGAAUUUAAUUUGAAUUUGAAUAGGUUAAUGGUGUUGGACUUUGCAGUUGUUUAAUUUUGUAUUAUAUUGUUCAGUGUCAUAUUUUGAUCAUCUUUGAGUUGUUCUAAGCCUAAAUUGUGCCUUCCCCAGCUUAUUUACUGACCAACUUUGAUCUACAAGUUGGGAAGCCUAUCUUCCCCUUCAAUAA